GAGACGCUGGCGGCGUGCUUAACGACAGUGCAAGUCGAACGGAAAGGCCCGUGCUUUUGUGGGGUGCUCGAGUGGCGAACGGGUGAGUAACACGUGAGUAACCUGCCCUUGACUUUGGGAUAACUUCAGGAAACUGGGGCUAAUACCGGAUAGGAGCUCCUGCUGCAUGGUGGGGGUUGGAAAGUUUCGGCGGUUGGGGAUGGACUCGCGGCUUAUCAGCUUGUUGGUGGGGUAGUGGCUUACCAAGGCUUUGACCGGGUAGCCGGCCUGAGAGGGUGACCGGCCACCAUUGGGACUGAGAUACGGCCCAGACUCCUACGGGAGGCAGCAGUGGGGAAUAUUGCACAAUGGGCGGAAGCCUGAUGCAGCAACGCCGCGUGCGGGAUGACGGCCUUCGGGUUGUAAACCGCUUUCGCCUGUGACGAAGCGUGAGUGACGGUAAUGGGUAAAGAAGCACCGGCUAACUACGUG
rnacentral:rRNA from 1 species